CACACACACACACACACACACACACACACACACACACACACUUGGCCCUUCACCUAACACCAGUAAUUAAAUUUUAAUGACCUCGCCAAGGGUAAUAUUUCCAUAACACCUGAGGAGGAAUCUACAUAACUGCACACAUGACAUUAAACACAGAGUUUAUGACACACUUGUGAGACCAACACUUGAAUACUCAUAAAGAUUGAUGGGUUAGAAGAAAUCAACACCAAGGCGGCUAGGCUCAUUACAAAGAAUUACACUCGAACGCCUGGAAUUACAACACGGAUCGAAAAACUGAUAAGCAUGGAACCUCUUCACAUACGCAGACAAGCACACAGACUUACACUUAUGUGCAAGAUCACAAACACUCAUUGACAUUGACCCACAAACAUACUUACACAACGCAAACAGUCAACGUACUCGUAACACACACAUCCAUAAAUACCAAACAUAUCACACUAACACUGACGCAUACAAGCACUCAUACUUUCCACGCACCAUACGUGACUGGAACAGCCUCCCUCAACAGAUUUUAGACUGCGGUACAAUAGACUCAUUCAGAAAACAAAUACACACUCACUUGUCACCACAACACACCAACACUAACAAUAACACCUGAUUCACUUCCCUCCCCUGCACACUCGGCUCCCCCGUCCCCCCAACAGCCGACCCAAAUAUGAGUGUUAUACACCUGAAAGGUGCCCUGCGCAUUAUUAUCCAGAUCCAGAUCCACAUCCAGGGAUGCUGACGUCAAGGUUUCGUUUAGUCGGCGCAACAUCUGUGGUCAUAUGCCGGAGAGAGACAGAAGAGGAAGGAAUUAUAGGAGGAGGGAACAGAUCCCAGGAGACAGGACACAACCCCCGAUUAAUACCUGGUACCCAUUCACUGCUGGGUGGACAGGGGCGUAAGGUAUCGGAAAAGCCGCCCAGAUUUUUCCACUCCGCCCGGGAGUCAAACCCGGGCGGUUGUGAGCCGAGUGUGCUAACCGCUGCACCACGAAGCCCCAAAGGUGAAGGAGGAGGAGAAGGAGGAGGAGGAAAAGGAGGAAGAGAAAAGAGGGGUUAAGAGGGUAGGAAAGGGAAGAGGUGGUGGAGGAGGAGGAGGAAAGAGGGGCCCUGUAAGAAGAUAGGAAAGAGAGAGGUGGAAGAGGUUUGGAAGAGUGGAGGUGAAGAAAAGGUAGGAGAGAGAGGAGGAGAAGGAGGAGGAAAAUAAAUAUAGUAAGAAAUCAUGAUAUAAAAGAAGAAAUAUGAGGAAAGACAGGAAGAAAAGAAGGAACAGAAGAAUAAAGUAAAAACAAAACGUGUACUGAAAGAAGGAGGAAUAAGAGAAGGGAAAGGAAGAGAAAGAGAAAGAGCAUAAAAAAAAAAAAUAGGAUGAACUAAUAGUGUUAUUGUUGUUGUUGGUGAUGAUGAUGAUGAUGGUGGAGAUACGCUUAAUGGGUAAUGAUGGGAAGGGGAAGCUUGAGUCUAAUAAUAGGUAAAUGAGGGGAGGAGGAGGGAACGGAGGGGAAAGGAAGAGAACGGAAGGGAAAGGAGAGAAAGAAAGAUGGAGGAAAUGAAAGUUAAGGGAAGAUAAAAUAAACGAAGGGAAAAUUAAUGAUGAGAAGGAAAGGCGAGGAAAGAAUAAUUAAGGUAAGGAAAGUGAAGGUAAGAGGAAUGGCAAAGGGAAUGAGAGAAGAGGAAGAGAAGGGAAAACAGGAAUAGGGGAAGGGAAGGGAGAGGAAGAGAAAGGAAAACAGGAAUAGGGGAAGGGAAGGGAGAGGAAGGGAAAGCGAGGGAACAUGAAGGUAAGGAAAGGUAGGUAAAGAUAAGGUAAGGUAGAGAGAGGAAAGAGAUAAGGGGAAGGGAAAGGAAGGGAAGGGAAAGCGAAGGACCAUGAAGGUAAGGAAAGGUAAGUAAAGGUAAGGUAAGGCAGAGAGAGGAAAGAGAUAAAGGGAAGGGAAAGGAAGGGAAGGGAAAGCAACAAUAAAUGAAAGGCAGGGAGAGGAAGGGAAAGGGAAAAAUCGAAGGGAAGGAAAGGUAAGGGAAGGAAAAUAAAGGUAUAGUAAGGGAAGAGGGAAGGAAGGUAAGAGAAAGGAAAACUAAUAAAAGAGAAAAAGGGAGAGGAAGGGAGAGGGAAGAAUUGAAGGGAAGGAAAGGUAAGGGAGAAAGGGAAGAUGGAUGUAAAAGAAAGGAAAACUAAUAAAAGAGAAAAAGGGAGAGGAAGGGAAAGGGAAAAUUUGAAGGGAAGGAAAGGUAAGGGAAGGAAAUAAAGGUAAAGUAAGGAAAGAGGGAAAUAAGAGAAAGGAAAAAUAGUAAAUGAAAGGAAAGAAGAGGAAGGGAAAACAGGAAGGGAAGGGAAGGGAAGGUGAAGGGAAGUCACCAUUAAUCAGGUAAAAAUGUUCCCCUCACCUGCCCUUCCUCAGCUCCCCUUACCUCCCCUACAGGCUCUUUCCUCCCCUCUCUUCCUCCCUCCCCUUCUUCUCUCCCUUCUUCCCUCCCCUCUUCUUCCUCAUCACCCUUCUCUGCUCGUUUUCCUC